UACGGGGGGGGCAAGCGUUGUUCGGAAUUACUGGGCGUAAAGGGCUCGUAGGCGGCCAACUAAGUCAGACGUGAAAUCCCUCGGCUUAACCGGGGAACUGCGUCUGAUACUGGAUGGCUUGAGAUUGGGAGAGGGAUGCGGAAUUCCAGGUGUAGCGGUGAAAUGCGCAGAUAUCAGGAGGAACACCGGUGGCGAAGGCGGUUCUCUGGGAAUGACCUGACGCUGAGGAGCGAAAGUGUGGGGAGCGAACAGG
rnacentral:rRNA from 1 species